AAAAAAUUAGUUAAUAAUAUAACAUAAGAACGUCAAUCUUAAAUCACUAUAAAGUAUUUUUUA
rnacentral:tRNA from 1 species